GUGUCAGCAGCCGCGGUAAUACGUAGGGUGCGAGCGUUAAUCGGAAUUACUGGGCGUAAAGCGUGCGCAGGCGGUUAUGUAAGACAGAGGUGAGAUCCCCGGGCUCAACCUGGGAACUGCCUUUGUGACUGCAUGACUAGAGUACGGCAGAGGGGGAUGGAAUUCCGCGUGUAGCAGUGAAAUGCGUAGAUAUGCGGAGGAACACCGAUGGCGAAGGCAAUCCCCUGGGCCUGUACUGACGCUCAUGCACGAAAGCGUGGGGAGCAAACAGGAUUAGAUACCCUGGUAGUCCACGCCCUAAACGAUGUCAACUGGUUGUUGGGUCUUAGCUGACUCAGUAACGAAGCUAACGCGUGAAGUUGACCGCCUGGGGAGUACGGCCGCAAGGUUGAAACUUAAAGAAAUUGGCGG
rnacentral:rRNA from 1 species